rnacentral:lncRNA from 1 species
CGUAUAUAACCUCUGUCUAUUCUAAGCAAUGUUUCUAAAACAGAUAUCAGAUAAGUUGGGAGAACAUCUUGAUGUGGGUGAAGUCACAUUACCAAUACAGACGUUUUACAGAUGAUCAAUAAUGUUUCAAUAUAAAACAAACAAACCACUAAAGAAACCAGCUGCAGCUUUGGCCGCUCUACACCUUGUUCACCGCACAACCGCCCCAAGCAAAGCUUCAUCACAUGCCACAAGCAUUUCACCUCUUUUUGGGAAGGAAUGCCUCCCCAAUUAGUCAAUUGCAAUUUGCAACCCUCUGAUGAGAUAUGAUGAUGGGAAAGACCUAACCCCUUUUGUUUUCUCUUCAUUUUUUCUCUUUUCACCCGGGGAACCUUUCCUUUUUUCCGGGACCUGGACUGGCGCCCGGGGCAGGCAGGGUCGUUCUCCUCUCCUUUUCACGCACUGUGGUGGUGGAUUUCUCCCUCUUUUCCUGCCUCCUCUUUCAGCCUGUUCCUUGCCUCUGAAGUUUGGUAUGGGUUCUGCUGCUCACCCUGUCGCACUCUACCGUCUCUCGCUGCUUGUGGGAAGAGAGUGCAAUGAUUCAGAGAGAGAGGUGCGAGCAGGCAGCGGAGGAGCCGGAGCUGCAGCCGGUGGCGCGUAGCUUUCCUGAAAGCAAGACGUGCAAACUGUUCCUGGCAGCGGCAUCUGUUACCACCUGCAGCCAGCAAUCCUCC